GACGAACGCUGGCGGCGUGCUUAACACAUGCAAGUCGAACGGAGAAGCCCUGCUUUUGUGGGGUGCUCGAGUGGCGAACGGGUGAGUAACACGUGAGUAACCUGCCCUUGACUUUGGGAUAACUUCAGGAAACUGGGGCUAAUACCGGAUAGGAGCUCCUGCUGCAUGGUGGGGGUUGGAAAGUUUCGGCGGUUGGGGAUGGACUCGCGGCUUAUCAGCUUGUUGGUGGGGUAGUGGCUUACCAAGGCUUUGACGGGUAGCCGGCCUGAGAGGGUGACCGGCCACAUUGGGACUGAGAUACGGCCCAGACUCCUACGGGAGGCAGCAGUGGGGAAUAUUGCACAAUGGGCGGAAGCCUGAUGCAGCAACGCCGCGUGCGGGAUGACGGCCUUCGGGUUGUAAACCGCUUUCGCCUGUGACGAAGCGUGUGUGACGGUAAUGGGUAAAGAAGCACCGGCUAACUACGUG
rnacentral:rRNA from 1 species